ensembl:lncRNA
CUGGCCAACUUCUUCUUCUACUGAUUCUUUUGGGAAUAGUCCUCUGACUGAAUUUUCUUUGUGACUGUACGACCUGGUGUUGCUGAAUAGAUUUAUCACAUGUUGAUAGCUGUGUAUUAGCUAUUGGAUUUUUUUUCUUAUCUUGUUCCUUUUUUUGAGGAUUAUUGGGUUUUUGUCCUCUGUUUGUGUUAUGGUGAUUAUGGUGUACCUGUUUUUUUUAAGGGUGUUAUUUUGUUUGUGGUGUUUGUUUAUUUGAGUGUGCAAGUGGAAUUCAGCAGGGGGGAAUGUAACAGUGUUUAUGUGAUAUUAUUCCACUUGCCACAAAUGUCAGUGUAAUGGGGGAAACAGCGCCCCCCCUCUCGGUGUGGCUGGCUGCAGUAAUCGCUGCCAGUCUGCCGUAGCCAUACAAGAGGUGAGUUGUAUUGUUCCGCACACGAUAUAUAGCUAAGUAGUACAGACACAUAAAACAUGUUUGAUUAGCUGAUGGGCACCGAGUGUAAUAAGUGCUCAGUGGACACAUGUCCAACACCAGUUUUAUGUACUUUUCAUUUGUUUAUUAUUGUGUAAAACUGUAUGCUAAAGCGGAAUGUUAAUGGGAUGUUCUGCCGUAGUGUGCUGUGUGGAGUGGUGUGUGGCGAGCCUGUGCACUGAUAAAACACCGUUGUUUCCAUUGAGGUACAUCAUUUGUUGUUGCUGUUAUUUUAUUGUACAUUAGAAAUUGUAAUAUUGCUGCAGUAAUCGCUGCCAGUCUGCCGUAGCCAUACGAGAGUGUGCUGUGCGGAGUGGUGUGUGGCGAGCCUGUGCACUGAUAAAACACCGUUGUUUCCAUUCAGGAAAUAAAGUGGCAUCGAUCAGAGACUCCUUGUCUUCUUAAAAACACAACACAACGCAGAGUCGAGGAGUCUAUCUGGGCCGAACUGUUGCAGCGGGAUGAAGCAGAAACCGCUUAAAGCAGACGUUUGUCGUUGUUUCUGGACACAAACCUCAAGCAGGAGCGCCGACACAUCACACUGUGGUUUACAGGAGCAAACUGUUUGUUUUCAAAACAAAAGUUUGGAACCGUUUGAUUUCAAAAUAAAAGUUUAUGUUUG